rnacentral:rRNA from 1 species
GAUGAACGCUGGCGGCGUGCCUAAUACAUGCAAGUCGAGCGAUCAGAUGAGAAGCUUGCUUCUCUGAUGUUAGCGGCGGACGGGUGAGUAACACGUGGGUAACCUACCUAUAAGACUGGGAUAACUCCGGGAAACCGGGGCUAAUGCCUGAUAAUAUUUUGAACCGCAUGGUUCAAUAGUGAAAGGCGGCUUCGGCUGUCACUUAUAGAUGGACCCGCGCCGUAUUAGCUAGUUGGUAAGGUAAUGGCUUACCAAGGCGACGAUACGUAGCCGACGUGAGAGGGUGAUCGGCCACACUGGAACUGAGACACGGUCCAGACUCCUACGGGAGGCAGCAGUAGGGAAUCUUCCGCAAUGGGCGAAAGCCUGACGGAGCAACGCCGCGUGAGUGAUGAAGGUUUUCGGAUCGUAAAACUCUGUUGUUAGGGAAGAACAAAUUUGUUAGUAACUGAACAAGUCUUGACGGUACCUAACCAGAAAGCCACGGCUAACUACGUGCCAGCCGCCGCGGUAA